AAAACAUAAAUACUACAAUUACCCCAAAAUCAAAAUCUCCAUUCAUCUGUCUCACUCUCGUUAACACCCUCGUUUCCAUUGCUCAGUUCUCACUUUCGUUAUCUUAUAUCUUCGAUUAUGCAAUAUGCUAUGUACUUGGAAGGCCACUGUCAAAGAAUUUGUACAGAUAGAUCAGCCGGUGGUAGCAGAACUGUUGUGGCUUGAACUUGUUUGGCUUAUUGAUUAGUGGGUUGGAGUUAAGCUCCUUAAACAACUUCUAAUUUCUCUUUAAUUAUUAUUAUUUUCUUCUUCUUUUUAGUGAUUGAUUGAUUGGUAACUAUUAUUAUUGUGUUCAAGUUUAUUUAUUUAAUUUAAUUGUCUACAUAGACAUUUAUUAUCAGUGUUAGAACUCCACUCUUUCUUCUUAAUGCUGCUUAUGAUUUAUGGCAGGUAACUUUAUCAUAAAUCAUAUAAUAUGAUCUAUGAUAGUAUUGAUCAUUAAAUUAUUUGUACUAAACAAUCACGUUUCCAAUUAUAAUCAGAUCCAAUCUAGUUUAGCUCCUCCAUCAACAGAUCCCCAUGGACAUUAGCAUGCUUGCAGAUUAAACCAUGUUAAAUGUACUAGGCCACAAAACCAAUUUUUGCAAGGAAUCACAUGUUGAAUUCUGUUAAAGAUUUCGAUCAAAAUAGAAUGGACUGUUUAUUAAUUCAUGUUUUGUGCACUGCCAAACGGAGAGGCAGGAUACAUGGUUUUCAGAUAAUUCUCCAGCUGUUGGGAACAAGGUGAGUACAAGCUUUUAGUUGACAAUGGGAAAUGUUAGUACAAGCUUGAUUUUUGACAAUGGGAAAUGCUACUUAACGGUAAUUGCUUUAGCUGUUGAAGACUGGUUUUUGGACUGAGAAAUUGUUACAGUCAUUGAUUGUCCUUAUCCUUGUGAUAAUGCAUGUCACCAUAUGGUUUUCAGUUGAGCCAAAGUUCUUCCAUCAUCAUCAGUGGAGGAUUAGCUAUUUGAGAAUAUUGGGGCAAAUCCUCUUUGUUUCUUACUGAUGAGCCGUAGGAGGGAUCCAACUCAUAUCUAUAGUUAGAUUGUUACUAUUUGUAAUAUUUCAAAUUUAGCUUGAUUAUAAAGAUGUCUAUCCAAACAAUUAAGAAAAAAGGGGUAAGUUUAUUGAUGUAUUUAUGAGAAUAAUAUAAAUAUACGAGUCAUUUAUAUAGAAAUUUUAUAAUGAGAUAAUCUAGUACAAA